UGCGGGGGUUGCCCAGCCAGGUCAAAGGCGCUAGGUUGAGGGCCUAGUCUCGUAGGAGUUCGUGGGUUCGAAUCCCAUCCCCCGCAUCC
rnacentral:tRNA from 1 species